GGGGGGGGGGGGGGGUGCUCGGAGCAAGAAGAGAUCAGUUCAAACUAAACAAUAACGUCUCCUACAAAUCUCGCUCGACGGAUACGAUUCCUAUGAAUCCGUAACCUCAGAGCCUUACGUGUGUCUUACAACGGCUCCUGCACAUCCACACUAUAUAAAUAGGACUUUGAGCAGUCCCUAAGGUACACCCAACCCCCUCGUUCCAGUUGAAGCAAUCACUUGGAAACCACCUUCAAACACUACAUCAAUAGUCACAUUCGGAUUCGAUACGAUCAAGAUGAUUGGCAGUGCUAAGGAGGUUCGGGGACUCUACUACUUUGACAUUGGACCUUCCAAACCAACAAGUUCUUGCUUUGAAUCUGAUGAUGAAAUUUGGCAAGUGCACCAAACUAUUUUCAAGUAAUAUAGUGAUAAGUAAGAUCGUCUCCACAUGUAUUGUUAUUUCAACUAGACAACUACAGAUAAGUGUCUAGGGUAAGGAAGGAGUAGUAUAUAUGUUAUCUUCCCUAGCGUCGCCAACGAACUCGAGACGUUCGUAGGAAACGGAUUCGGGGUAAGAAGUAUGAGUUAAUGCAUCUUCUAAAGCUUCUUGUUGAGGAAUGUGUAGCCAAUUAUCUUUUCCACUGCUGCAAUUGAACCUUCCAUCUCCAUCUUCAUCUUCUGUGUGUGUAAGUGUUUGAGUAACGUUUUUUGUUUUUGUUAUUGAAUGACUUAAGUUUGCUUCUGUCUCACGAAUUUCAAUAUCAAUCAAUUUAUGCA